UACGUAGGGUGCAAGCGUUGUCCGGGAUUAUUGGGCGUAAAGAGCUCGUAGGCGGUCUGUUGCGUCGGCUGUGAAAACCCGGGGCUCAACCCCGGGCCUGCAGCCGAUACGGGCAGACUAGAGUUCGGCAGGGGAGACUGGAAUUCCUGGUGUAGCGGUGAAAUGCGCAGAUAUCAGGAGGAACACCGGUGGCGAAGGCGGGUCUCUGGGCCGAUACUGACGCUGAGGAGCGAAAGCGUGGGGAGCGAACAGG
rnacentral:rRNA from 1 species